rfam:Myotis davidii contig24561, whole genome shotgun sequence.
GGCAGUUCUCAAGUGACACCCCCUGGAAUUGGGCUCCCUUCUCUCUGGUUCCAGGUGCAUCACCCGAGAACCGCA